rnacentral:rRNA from 1 species
CAGUCGCCACGGUAAUACGAAGGGGGCUAGCGUUGUUCGGAAUUACUGGGCGUAAAGCGCACGUAGGCGGAUAUUUAAGUCAGGGGUGAAAUCCCGCAGCUCAACUGCGGAACUGCCUUUGAUACUGGGUAUCUUGAGUAUGGAAGAGGUUAGUGGAAUUGCGAGUGUAGAGGUGAAAUUCGUAGAUAUUCGCAGGAACACCAGUGGCGAAGGCGGCUAACUGGUCCAUAACUGACGCUGAGGUGCGAAAGCGUGGGGAGCAAACAGGAUUAGAUACCCGAGUAGUCCCUGUCUCUUAUAA